rnacentral:rRNA from 1 species
GACGAACGCUGGCGGCGUGCCUAAUACAUGCAAGUUGAGCGAUGAAGAUUGGUGCUUGCACCAAUUUGAAGAGCAGCGAACGGGUGAGUAACGCGUGGGGAAUCUGCCUUUGAGCGGGGGACAACAUUUGGAAACGAAUGCUAAUACCGCAUAACAACUUUAAACAUAAGUUUUAAGUUUGAAAGAUGCAAUUGCAUCACUCAAAGAUGAUCCCGCGUUGUAUUAGCUAGUUGGUGAGGUAAAGGCUCACCAAGGCGAUGAUACAUAGCCGACCUGAGAGGGUGAUCGGCCACAUUGGGACUGAGACACGGCCCAAACUCCUACGGGAGGCAGCAGUAGGGAAUCUUCGGCAAUGGACGAAAGUCUGACCGAGCAACGCCGCGUGAGUGAAGAAGGUUUUUGGAUCGUAAAACUCUGUUGGUAGAGAAGAACGUUGGUGAGAGUGGAAAGCUCAUCAAGUGACGGUAACUACCCAGAAAGGGACGGCUAACUACGUG